rnacentral:rRNA from 1 species
AGUGAACGCUGGCGGUAGGCCUAACACAUGCAAGUCGAACGGCAGCACAGUAAGAGCUUGCUCUUACGGGUGGAGAGUGGCGGACGGGUGAGGAAUACAUCGGAAUUUACUUUUUCUUGGGGGAUAACGUAGGGAAACUUACGCUAAUACCUCAUACUACCUACGGGUGAAAGCGGGGUAUCUUCGGACCUUGCGCGGUUGAAUGAGCCGAUGUCGGAUUAGCUAGUUGGCGGGGGAAAGGCCCACCAAGGCGACGCUCCGUAGCUGGUCUGAGAGGAUGAUCAGCCACACUGGAACUGGGACACGGUCCAGACUCCUACGGGAGGGAGAAGUGGGGAAUAUUGGACAAUGGGCGCAAGCCUGAUCCAGCCAUACCGAGUGGGUGAAGAAGGCCUUCGGGUUGUAAAGCCCAUUUGUUGGGAAAGAAAAGCAGCAGGUUCAUAUCCCGCUGUUCUGACGGUACCCAAAGAAUAAGCACCGGCUAACUUCGUG